ACGAACGCUGGCGGCAGGCCUAACCCCUGCAAGUCGAGCGCCCCGCAAGGGGAGCGGCGGCCGGGUGAGUAACGCGUGGGAAUAUGCCCUUUGCUACGGAAUAGUCCCGGGAAACUGGGGGUAAUACCGUAUACGCCCUUUGGGGGAAAGAUUUAUCGGCGAAGGAUUAGCCCGCGUUGGAUUAGGUAGUUGGUGGGGUAAUGGCCUACCAAGCCGACGAUCCAUAGCUGGUUUGAGAGGAUGAUCAGCCACACUGGGACUGAGACACGGCCCAGACUCCUACGGGAGGCAGCAGUGGGGGAUCUUGGACAAUGGGGGCAACCCUGAUCGAGCCAUGCCGCGUGAGUGAUGAAGGCCUUAGGGUUGUAAAGCUCUUUCAGCUGGGAAGAUAAUGACGGUACCAGCAGAAGAAGCCCCGGCUAACUCCGUG
rnacentral:rRNA from 1 species